GAGUUCUGUGUCUUCUUGACAAUUGCUCCUAAUACUACAGGGAGGGCAAAAAACAUUUUCAUGUACAUAAGAACUGAGAUUACCAUUGACCUCCUUCUGUUUGAUGCUCAUGGUGGAGUUAGGGAAGAAUUUAGAGAUGUUGAGAGUCUGCAACCCAUCAUAGCUUGAAAGCAAGACAAUGAAAAGUUGAAAAAAUACUGACAGUGGGGUCUGUUCUCAGUGUCAAUGAAGACUACGUUGAAACUAACUCAAAACGAGCUCAAGAGAAGCAGCAGGUUUCAGCUGACAGUGCUGGCAAGAUUGCUUCUCAAGCUCUGGAUAUUCUCAAAUACAUUUUCAAGUACGUGUUACUUCAAAGAGCCAUUGAAUGAACACCAGGUGAACUGGUAUGCAGCUCUACCUGAAGCAUGUAGUGCUACUAGCAUUCCUCAAGAAAAUAACAUGAGUGCUUCAACAUUUCCUGCUGCGUAAUACAACUUUUCAAACACCGUGUUUUACCAGGGCAAUCAAGUGCAACAUGACUGCCAUACCUGAGGAAGGGCACCUUGUGUUAGAAAGCUUCAUUAACCUCUCUCCCAAUUAUAUAAUUUGUGUAAUAAAAGGCUUCACCAAAAAA